UGAACAGAUGGGAAACAAGUCACCAACACCUUAGAGGCUGCACACGACCAGGAAUAGCUAAGAAACUGCCAGCAAUGGGACGCAGACGACCUACAACCGGGGAAUCCGCGGGAACCAGUCUGACUUUGCCCAACUAAGCGUCCCCUCCAGGCCGGUUUCCUCAAUACCUCCCACUAAAGGGACAAACUGCAAUGGGAUGAAUCCAGGAGACAAGAGACUUCCGCGAUUCCUUAAGUUAGAUACUUAAAGGGAAACGCAACGGACUUGGACUGGCCAAAAUGAGUAAGAAAAACAAAGCCAGAGAGUCCUAUUUCCCUGUUCUGAAAAACGACAGCCAUCAAGACAGCGCGGCCCGACCAGACACAGGGACCGACACAGGGACCCGCGUAACAGAGAACCGAAACAAACCCUCCACUCAGGACCCUCGAUUCUGCCCAGAAGGGACCGCAACUCGGGAAGGAGCGAAUACUCCUGCCGAGAGGGAUGCUGAGAACGUGGCAGCCACCCGCAGGCGAACGAAGUGCGUCCCCACCACCCGAGAUUAGUGACACAACAACGAUGAUAAGCACAAAAGUGCUCCCAGUCAGGCAUAUAUGCGGGCAGGAUACUCUUUUUUUUUUUAAAUUUAAUUUUAUUUUUUAUUAGUGAAACACCAUGAAGUACAGUUGUAGACUUGCAAGUUUUUGUGCUUGGGUUUCAGUUAUACAAUGAUGAAGUACCCAUCCCUCCACCAGUGCCCAUUCUCCACCACCAAUGAUCCCAGUAGCCCUCCCAUCCCCCCCACCCCAUCCGGUUGAUAUCAAGGAUCUACAAAGUACUGGUUGAACUCCAUAAGAAAAAAACAUCCAAGCCCAUCAAAAAAUCGGGCCACGAAAUGAACAGAAACUUUCUCAAAGAAGAGAUCCGAAUGGCAAAAAGGCACGUGAGAAAAUGCUCCACGUCACUAAUCAUCAGGGAGCUGCAGAUCAAAACAACAAUGAGAUAUCAUCGCACACCACAGAGACUGGCUCACAUCCAAAAGAACAAAAGCAAACAGUGUUGGCGCGGAUGUGGCAAGAAAGGGAUCCUCCUUCAUGGGCAGGAUACUCUUGGUAGCCUGCCGGGUUCUCUGGGAGCGAGAACUAGACAGAGGUCUCACGGCCGCAGGUGCUUGGAGCGAAUGCCACUCCUUCUGGGAGCUUGGUUUUAUUGUCUCUGGGUCUUGACUGUUGAUGGGGCUACACGGCAGUUGGUGGGUGUGACUGUCUAGCUACUCGAAGAUGGAGGAUCUGGGUGGAGGAGGCCCAUUCCCCAACCAAGCAGGCUUGGAGAUCUCAGACCUGGGUCCUGCACACCCGGGUUUCUCUGCCGGUUCCUUCCUGCGUGAGGUUCGUCCCAGUGUGUGGAGAGUGGUCUCAGCAUGGCUGUGGCUGGGUCCCGGAGCCUGGCAAGCUACCUGUGACAUACUCGAUAUGCCAAAGACAGUAACAAUGAUGGUCCUCAUUCCUCUGACCCUGAAAGAGCCCCCAAUAUGCCAUCGGUCUACACUAGCACAUGACAGGGACGAAUGGAGACAUUAUUGGCGCCCGCUUGAGCAAAUCGAUGAACAAUGGGGUGCUAGUGGUAGUGCUAGUGAUUUUUUUUAAAUGGAUUUUUAAUUUCUACUCUAGGACUUAACUCUUUCACAACUUGUUUUUAACCGGUGACACGCCAUGCCACA